rnacentral:sRNA from 1 species
UCCGUAGGUGAACCUGCGGAGGGAUCAUUACCGAGUUUACAACUCCCAAACCCCUGUGAACAUACCUAUACGUUGCCUCGGCGGAUCAGCCCGCGCCCCGUAAAAAGGGACGGCCCGCCCGAGGACCCCUAAACUCUGUUUUUAGUGGAACUUCUGAGUAAAACAAACAAAUAAAUCAAAACUUUCAACAACGGAUCUCUUGGGUCUGGAAUCGAUGAACAACGCAGCAAAAUGCGAUAAGUAAUGUGAAUUGCAGAAUUCAGUGAAUCAUCGAAUCUUUGAACGCACAUUGCGCCCGCCAGUAUUCUGGCGGGCAUGCCUGUUCGAGCGUCAUUUCAACCCUCAAGCUCAGCUUGGUGUUGGGACUCGCGGUAACCCGCGUUCCCCAAAUCGAUUGGCGGUCACGUCGAGCUUCCAUAGCGUAUGAAUCAUACACCUCGUUACUGGUAAUCGUCGCGGCCACGCCGUAAAACCCCAACUUCUGAAUGUUGACCUCGGAUCAGGUAGGAAUACCCGCUGAACUUAAGCAUAUCAAUAAGCGGAGGAA